rnacentral:rRNA from 1 species
AACGAACGUUGGCGGCGUGGAUUAGGCAUGCAAGUCGUACGCGAAAGAGGGAGCAAUCCCUUGAGUAAAGUGGCGAACGGGUGAGUAACGCGUAGGAAACCUGCCUUCGAGAUGGGGAUAACACUCCUAACGGGGUGCUAAUACCGAAUGACACUGCGGGAUCGCAUGGUUCUGCAGUCAAAGGUGGCCUCUGCUUGCAAGCUACCACUCGGAGAUGGUCCUGCGCCCAUUAGCUAGUUGGCGGGGUAACGGCCCACCAAGGCGACGAUGGGUAGCCGAUCUGAGAGGAUGACCGGCCACACUGGGACUGAGAUACGGCCCAGACUCCUACGGGAGGCAGCAGUCGAGAGGCUUCGGCAAUGGGGAAACCCUGACCGAGCGACGCCGCGUGAGGAUGAAGGCCUUUGGGUUGUAAACUCCUGUCAUGU